rnacentral:rRNA from 1 species
UACGUAGGGUGCGAGCGUUAAUCGGAAUUACUGGGCGUAAAGCGUGCGCAGGCGGUUUUGUAAGUCUGACGUGAAAUCCCCGGGCUUAACCUGGGAAUUGCGUUGGAGACUGCAAGGCUGGAGUCUGGCAGAGGGGGGUAGAAUUCCACGUGUAGCAGUGAAAUGCGUAGAGAUGUGGAGGAACACCGAUGGCGAAGGCAGCCCCCUGGGUCAAGACUGACGCUCAUGCACGAAAGCGUGGGGAGCAAACGGG